rnacentral:rRNA from 1 species
UACGUAGGGUGCAAGCGUUAUCCGGAAUUAUUGGGCGUAAAGAGCUCGUAGGCGGUUUGUCGCGUCUGCUGUGAAAACUGGAGGCUCAACCUCCAGCCUGCAGUGGGUACGGGCAGACUAGAGUGCGGUAGGGGAGAUUGGAAUUCCUGGUGUAGCGGUGGAAUGCGCAGAUAUCAGGAGGAACACCAAUGGCGAAGGCAGAUCUCUGGGCCGUAACUGACGCUGAGGAACGAAAGCGUGGGGAGCGAUCCGG